GGAUCAGCUGAGCCUUGUGCCUGCCUGACACAGACCUGCCAUGCCAGGGGAAUUCUGGAGUGCUGCUGGCUCCCCUGGCAGGCCUCCUUGACACCCAGGGUAUUCCCAGAGUAUUUUCCUAUCCCUCCUCUCACACACAGGUACCUCAGCCACCUUCUCUCUGAUGGAAAUCUGAGCUUUGAGAGUUUCUGGAGCUUUUUUUUGACCCGAGUGGAGGCAUUUAGGUGUUCUCUGCCUCAAGAGCAGACUUCCAUCACCGCAGGCUUAUCUGGGACAAAGCUCAUAACAGCAGAAAGCCAAGGAAACUGGAAAGCCUAUUGUAAUAACAAAAAAAGCCACAAGUGGCAGUAGGACACUGGCAGGCAAAUCAAAUAUCAGCCCCAGCUGAUGAGCUAAGGCAGGGGCUUUCUCUGGAUGUCUGCUGGAAGGCUAAAAAUUAACGUGUGUGGAAGUGUGCAGCCUGAAAUAGAAGUGAGUUGUAUUGAAGACUAAUAUUUAUAACUCUACCCUAGCAAUUUGUAACAUACCCACUUCCUACUACAGAGGGCAGAACUAUAAUCAAGAAUGCCUCUGAAAGCUCAGAACUUUUUGCAGACACAAAUACUGUCUGCAAAUGCAUGUUCUAGCAAAUGCUUUUUAACUGUUUACAGGAUCUAUGUCAUCCGCAGAAAAACACUUUUCAAUAUACAGUUGGACUUUUAGAGAGUUUUUUACUGCCUUAGCUACUGGUAGCUGUGAGAAUUCCAUGGCAGAUCUACAGGUAUAAAGAGGGCACACCUUGGUUUCUGGUUUGGGUUUGCAUUUUAACAGUGGGGGUUGGAAAAUGAUUCUUUCCCAUGGUGCUCAGGAGGGUAACUCCUGUUGCUGCGACACAGGAAUGAGCUGACAGCUUGCCACUGACAUAAAUAGCCUCUGUCUGGGUGCUGUCAUCAGUGAGGUGUUUGAUAGCUUGAGUUCAGAUACCUGAGUUCAUCACUCAGCCACUUUUGAAGGCUGUCGUGGUCAUUUCAUGGCAUUUGCAUGAGUUGUUUUUUGAGUGAUCCAGCUCCCUGAAUCUACUGUGGCACUGCAGAUGCAUGAAGGCCUUCCCAACACUAUUUCUUCCUGUUAGACAUGACAUGGGAGAAGUGUUAAUGUGUUUCCUUUAGAUUUUAAUAGUUAUCAGCAGUUACCAUUUAUUGUGCAUGAAUCAGAAGUGGCUUAGAGUUCAACAGUGAGGACAGCCUAACCACAAAGAACAAAGAAUCCUUUCCCAAACCCAAAACCUAACAGAACUUAUUUUUUUAUUCCAUGUUUGCUUUGCCUUCACCUAAAAAAUACUUUAAAAAGUAAUCUAAAAGGCCAGAUCAAG
rnacentral:lncRNA from 1 species